UACAGAGGGGGCAAGCGUUGUUCGGAAUUACUGGGCGUAAAGGGCGCGUAGGCGGCCUUCUAAGUCGAACGUGAAAUCCCCGGGCUCAACCCGGGAACUGCGUCCGAUACUGGAAGGCUUGAAUCCGGGAGAGGGAUGCGGAAUUCCAGGUGUAGCGGUGAAAUGCGUAGAUAUCUGGAGGAACACCGGUGGCGAAGGCGGCAUCCUGGACCGGUAUUGACGCUGAGGCGCGAAAGCCAGGGGAGCAAGCGGG
rnacentral:rRNA from 1 species